CUGCACGCGCGCUACACUGAUAUGUUCACCGAGCUUAUUUUACACCUUGCCUGGAAGGGUUGGGUAAUCUCUAAAACCGUAAUCGUGAUGGGGAUAGAUUAUUGUAAUUUUUGAUCUUCAACGAGGAAUUCCUAGUAAACGUGCGUCAGCAUCGCGCAUUGAUUACGU
rnacentral:rRNA from 1 species